AAUAGAUACCCAGGUAGUCCACGCCGUAAACGAUGAGUGCUAGGUGUUAGGGGGUUUCCACCCCUUAGUGCUGCAGCUAACGCAUUAAGCACUCCGCCUGGGGAGUACGGUCGCAAGACUGAAACUCAAAGGAAUUGACGGGGGCCCGCACAAGCGGUGGAGCAUGUGGUUUAAUUCGAAGCAACGCGAAGAACCUUACCAGGUCUUGACAUCCCGCUGACCGCCAUGGAGACAUGGCUUUUCCCUUCGGGGACAGCGGUGACAGGUGGUGCAUGGUUGUCGUCAGCUCGUGUCGUGAGAUGUUGGGUUAAGUCCCGCAACGAGCGCAACCCUUGUCCUUAGUUGCCAUCAUUCAGUUGGGCACUCUAAGGAGACUGCCGUACAAAUACGGAGGAAGGUGGGGAUGACGUCAAAUCAUCAUGCCCCUUAUGACCUGGGCUACACACGUGCUACAAUGGGCGGUACAAAGGGCUGCGAACCCGCGAGGGGAGCCAAUCCCAAAAAGCCGCUCUCAGUUCGGUAUUGCGAGG
rnacentral:rRNA from 1 species